rnacentral:rRNA from 1 species
GACGAACGCUGGCGGCGUGCUUAACACAUGCAAGUCGAACGGAAAGGCCCUGCUUUUGUGGGGUGCUCGAGUGGCGAACGGGUGAGUAACACGUGAGUAACCUGCCCUUGACUUUGGGAUAACUUCAGGAAACUGGGGCUAAUACCGGAUAGGAGCUCCUGCUGCAUGGUGGGGUUUGGAAGGUUCGGCGGUUGGGGAUGGACUCGCGGCUUAUCAGCUUGUUGGUGGGGUAGGGGCUUACCAAGGCUUUGACGGGUAGCCGGCCUGAGAGGGUGGCCGGCCACAUUGGGACUGAGAUACGGCCCAGACUCCUACGGGAGGCAGCAGUGGGGAAUAUUGCACAAUGGGCGGAAGCCUGAUGCAGCAACGCCGCGUGCGGGAUGACGGCCUUCGGGUUGUAAACCGCUUUCGCCUGUGACGAAGCGUGAGUGACGGUAAUGGGUAAAGAAGCACCGGCUAACUACGUG